rnacentral:rRNA from 1 species
UACGUAGGGUGCAAGCGUUGUCCGGAAUUAUUGGGCGUAAAGAGCUCGUAGGCGGUCUGUCACGUCGGCUGUGAAAACCCGAGGCUCAACCUCGGGCCUGCAGUCGAUACGGGCAAACUAGAGUACUGCAGGGGAGACUGGAAUUCCAGGUGUAGCGGUGAAAUGCGUAGAUAUCUGGAGGAACACCGGUGGCGAAGGCGGCAUCCUGGACCAUGACUGACGCUGAGGAGCGAAAGCCAGGGGAGCAAACGGG